GACGAACGCUGGCGGCGUGCCUAACACAUGCAAGUCGAGCGAGUGAAUCUCCUUCGGGAGUGAAGCUAGCGGCGGACGGGUGAGUAACACGUGGGCAACCUGCCUCAUAGAGGGGAAUAGCCUUUCGAAAGGAAGAUUAAUACCGCAUAAGAUUGUAGCUUCGCAUGAAGUAGCAAUUAAAGGAGCAAUCCGCUAUGAGAUGGGCCCGCGGCGCAUUAGCUAGGUGGUGAGGUAACGGCGCACCAAGGCGACGAUGCGUAGCCGACCUGAGAGGGUGAUCGGCCACAUUGGGACUGAGACACGGCCCAGACUCCUACGGGGGGCAGCAGUGGGGAAUAUUGCACAAUGGGGGAAACCCUGAUGCAGCAACGCCGCAUGAGUGAUGACGGCCUUCGGGUUGUAAAGCUCUGUCUUCAGGGACGAUAAUGACGGUACCUGAGGAGGAAGCCACGGCUAACUACGUGCCAGCAGCCGCCGUAA
rnacentral:rRNA from 1 species